CAAUAGCGCAUAUUUAAGUUGCUGCAGUUAAAAAGCUCGUAGUUGGAUUUCGGGUGGGAAUGGCCGGUCCGCCGUUUCGGUGUGCACUUGCUACGCCCACCUUGCUGCCGGGGACGUGCUCUUGAGUUCACGCUCGGGACACGGAGUCGGCGAGGUUACUUUGAGUAAAUUAGAGUGUUCAAAGCAGGCCUACGCUCUGAAUACAUUAGCAUGGAAUAACACGAUAGGACUCUGGCCUAUCUUGUUGGUCUGUAGGACCGGAGUAAUGAUUAAGAGGGACAGUCGGGGGCAUUCGUAUUUCAUUGUCAGAGGUGAAAUUCUUAGAUUUGCUGAAGAUGAACAACUGCGAAAGCAUUUACCAAGGAUGUUUUCAUUAA
rnacentral:rRNA from 1 species